rnacentral:tRNA from 1 species
GUUAAUGUAGCUUAAUAAAAUAAAGCAAGACACUGAAAAUGUCUAGAUGAGUACUCACACUCCAUAAACA